rnacentral:guide_RNA from 1 species
AAAACAACGCAGCAUCGAGAUAGAGUUAUAUAGGUAAAGUGA